rnacentral:rRNA from 1 species
UACAGAGGUCUCAAGCGUUGUUCGGAUUCAUUGGGCGUAAAGGGUGCGUAGGCGGUCGGGUAAGUCUGAUGUGAAAUCUCACAGCUUAACUGUGAAACUGCAUUGGAUACUAUUCGGCUUGAGAGUUGGAGGGGGGACUGGAAUUCUUGGUGUAGCAGUGAAAUGCGUAGAUAUCAAGAGGAACACCAGUGGCGAAGGCGAGUCCCUGGACGAUACCUGACACUGAGGCACGAAAGCCAAGGGAGCAAACAGG